rnacentral:rRNA from 1 species
UACGUAGGGACCAAGCGUUGUCCGGAAUCAUUGGGCGUAAAGAGCGUGUAGGCGGCCAUUUAAGUCCUGCGUGAAAUCUCGGGGCUCAACCCCGAGCGGUCGUGGGAAACUGGAUGGCUAGAGUGCGGGAGAGGAGAGUGGAAUUCCUGGUGUAGCGGUGGAAUGCGCAGAUAUCAGGAAGAACACCCGUGGUGAAGGCGGCUCUCUGGAACGCAACUGACGCUGAGACGCGAAAGCGUGGGGAGCAAACAGG